rnacentral:rRNA from 1 species
UGAGGAAUAUUGGACAAUGGGCGCAAGCCUGAUCCAGCCAUGCCGCGUGCAGGAUGACGGUCCUAUGGAUUGUAAACUGCUUUUGUACAGGAAGAAACAGUUCUACGUGUAGAACCUUGACGGUACUGUAAGAAUAAGGAUCGGCUAACUCCGUGCCAGCAGCCGCGGUAAUACGGAGGAUCCAAGCGUUAUCCGGAAUCAUUGGGUUUAAAGGUCCGUAGGCGGUUAGAUAAGUCAGUGGUGAAAGCCCAUCGCUCAACGGUGGAACGGCCAUUGAUACUGUCUGACUUGAAUUAUUAGGAAGUAACUAGAAUAUGUAGUGUAGCGGUGAAAUGCUUAGAGAUUACAUGGAAUACCAAUUGCGAAGGCAGGUUACUACUAAUGGAUUGACGCUGAUGGACGAAAGCGUGGGUAGCGAACAGGAUUAGAUACCCCCGUAGUCCCUGAGCGGGCUGGCAAGGCGCAU